rnacentral:rRNA from 1 species
CCUACGGGAGGCAGCAGUGGGGAAUAUUGCACAAUGGGGGGAACCCUGAUGCAGCAACGCCGCGUGAAGGAUGAAGGUUUUCGGUUUGUAAACUUCUUUUGUACGGGACGAAAAAAGUGACGGUACCUUAAGAAUAAGCCACGGCUAACUACGUGCCAGCAGCCGCGGUAAUACGUAGGUGGCAAGCGUUAUCCGGAUUUACUGGGUGUAAAGGGGGAGUAGGCGGGAAUGCAAGUCUGAUGUGAAAACUAUGGGCUCAACCGCUAGAGUGCAUUUGAAACUGCAGUGCUGGAGUGAUGGAGAGGCAGGCGGAAUUCCCGGUGUAGCGGUGGAAUGCGUAGAUAUCGGGAGGAACACCAGUGGCGAAGGCGGCCUGCUGGACAGUAACUGACGCUGAGGCGCGAAAGCGUGGGGAGCAAACAGGAUUAGAUACCCUAGUAGUC